GACGAACGCUGGCGGCGUGCUUAACACAUGCAAGUCGAACGGGCCUGUCUUCUUUUUUGGGGGUGGGUUGAGUGGCGAACGGGUGAGUAUCACGUGAGUAACCUGCCCUUCGGUCCUGGAUAACCGCUUGAAAGGGCGGCUAAUACGGGGUGGUCCGGUUGGUCCGCAUGGGCUGGUCGGGAUAGAUUCACUGUUUUUGGUGUUUCGGCGGGGGAUGGGCUCGCGGCCUAUCAGCUUGUUGGUGGGGUGAUGGCCUACCAAGGCGGUGACGGGUAGCCGGCCGGAGAGGGUGGGCGGCCACACGGGGACUGAGAUACGGCCCAGACUCCUGCGGGAGGUAGCAGUGGGGGGUAUUGCACAAUGGGCGGAAGCCUGAUGCAGCGACGUCGCGUGAGGGAGGGAGGCCUUCGGGUUGUGAACCUCUGUUUCCGGUGGUGAAGGCCCUGUCCGUGUGGUGGGGUUGACGGUAGCCGGGGAUGAAGCGCCGGCUAACUACGUG
rnacentral:rRNA from 1 species